UACGAAAGGUGCAAGCGUUACUCGGAAUCACUGGGCGUAAAGCGCACGUAGGCGGACUCUUAAGUCGGUGGUGAAAUCCUGGAGCUCAACUCCAGAACUGCCUUCGAUACUGAGAGUCUCGAGUCCGGGAGAGGUGAGUGGAACUGCGAGUGUAGAGGUGAAAUUCGUAGAUAUUCGCAAGAACACCAGUGGCGAAGGCGGCUCACUGGCCCGGUACUGACGCUGAGGUGCGAAAGCGUGGGGAGCAAACAGG
rnacentral:rRNA from 1 species